AAAAUUGCUGAACAGUAACCGUAUAUUACUGUUUUGGCAUUUAAAGGUUUACGAAACGAUUCUAAAUUCUUUUCUUAUUCUUUUAAGGUGAUCGUUAAAUCGAGGAAAGGAAUUAGCAUCGCGAAUUGUGGAAUUACGCUCGAGUCAAUAAGGGGAUACUUCCGCAGGUGCUGAGUAGUGGUGAUUGAGUGACGACUCCGAAGACUCGAAGUCGAUCGCAUCCAGUCGUGGUGAUGAACGGUGACAAGGGCCGAGGACAGGGCCGAGGACGGGCGAGAGGACGUGGUCGAGGUAGGACCACGGGCCGAGUCCGCAACGUGGAGAACCUUUAUGAGGAGGCUGCUCCACAGGUAGAGCGGGUAGGCCGAGGUCGAGCUAGGGCCACAGGUCGAGUCCGCAACGUGGAGAACCUCUAUGAGGAGGCUGCUCCGCAGGAGGAGCAGGAUGAGCCAGCUCCUGCGGUUAGAGAUGACGGUCGAGUGUUGAAGUUGA